rnacentral:rRNA from 1 species
CCUACGGGAGGCAGCAGUGAGGAAUAUUGGUCAAUGGACGAGAGUCUGAACCAGCCAAGUAGCGUGAAGGAUGACUGCCCUAUGGGUUGUAAACUUCUUUUGUAUGGGAAUAAAACAGGGUAUGCAUACCCUCUUGUAUGUACCAUAUGAAUAAGGAUCGGCUAACUUCGUUCCAGCAGCCGCGGUUAUUAGGAGGAUCGCAGCGUUAUCCGGAUUUGUUGGGGUUAAAGGGAGCGUAGGUGGAGUGUUAAGUCAGUUGGGAAAGUUGGCGGCUCAACCGUAAAAUUGCAGUUGAAACUGGCAGUCUUGAGUACAGUAGAGGUGGGCGGAAUUCGUGGUGUAGCGGUGAAAUGCUUAGAUAUCACGAAGAACUCCGAUUGCGAAGGCAGCUCACUGGACUGCAACUGACACUGAUGCUCGAAAGUGUGGGUAUCAAACAGGAUUAGAUACCCUGGUAGUC